GACCCUGUUCGUUGCUAGCAGCAUGCAAGUUUGAUUAACAAAAUCUCCGUUUAAAUUCCGGCUCGCGUCUUCAGAGCGAUGAGGACGGAGCAGCCGCUCUCAUGUAAAUAAGAGGAAGCCAGGAAGCAUUACAGAGAAAGUGUUGGGAUUGGAGGAUGCUGAUGCUGGGUAGCAGACAGGAAGAGGCACAUCUGCGAUUUAUUUCCUUCUAUUCUAAAAUGUUUUCCUGCUGGAGUCUCCUGCCUGGCACAUGUCUCCUCCUGGGCAAGGACGCCUCAAUGGCAUCCUCACAGCUCAGCCUCUUGGAACACAGUGAGACAGAGGAAGAAGGAAGAUGCCCCUGGAGGGAGAGCUGAGCAAAUCCAGCCCACACGGGGAAACCGAGAAAGUCAGAGCUCAUGGAAACUUGGGGCGUCUCAUGUAUUCCCUUUGUGGUACCUAUCCUGGCAUAGCUCUGUGGACUAUCCUGGCAUUGAGAAGGUAAGUUACAGGUACCUCACUAGAGUUAAAGGGGGUGCAUUUCUGCACGAUUAUACAGAUUCAGCUUUCUUCAAAACCGAAUUGUCUGCAGUCUCCUAACUCCUUAAUCUGAAAUGCUCAUGUGGGGAGCAAUCCGGACUAGACUAAGUUACUCGAAUUAAGACUUAUUCUAUGCAUCUGCUCUCCCACAAUAUGGCGCUGGGAGAGAAGUAAACAGCUUCCGCACAGCUGCCUCCAGUUCAACUAAUAAACUGUAGGACUUGCUCCUGAUUGGAGAGCA
rnacentral:lncRNA from 1 species